rnacentral:rRNA from 1 species
ACACACGCUGGCGGCGUGCUUCACACAUGCCAGUCGCACGGAAAGGCCCUGCUUUUGUGGGGUGCUCGAGUGGCGAACGGGUGAGUAACACGUGAGUAACCUGCCCUUGACUUUGGGAUAACUUCAGGAAACUGGGGCUAAUACCGGAUAGGAGCUCCUGCUGCAUGGUGGGGGUUGGAAAGUUUCGGCGGUUGGGGAUGGACUCGCGGCUUAUCAGCUUGUUGGUGGGGUAGUGGCUUACCAAGGCUUUGACGGGUAGCCGGCCUGAGAGGGUGACCGGCCACAUUGGGACUGAGAUACGGCCCAGACUCCUACGGGAGGCAGCAGUGGGGAAUAUUGCACAAUGGGCGGAAGCCUGAUGCAGCAACGCCGCGUGCGGGAUGACGGCCUUCGGGUUGUAAACCGCUUUCGCCUGUGACGAAGCGUGAGUGACGGUAAUGGGUAAAGAAGCACCGGCUAACUACGUG